AAAAAUGAGAAGACCCCACGGUGUCCGACAUAGCCAGAAAAGUAAUUGUCAUAUAAAUCUCAGCUUACACCGGGUACUUGGCUAUAGGUCCUACGAAUUACACCCAACACCGGUUACCGGCUUAUCUAUCUUGUUGUUAAGACACAAAAUUCAGAGUUUAUGAAACCAUGUGUUUCUAUUUUAUCUCUGGUGUGCAUUUUAACCACUGCACAAAGCAGUGUCUUCUUAAAACCCUUUCGGUUUCCCUGUGAUCCUCACGAGGACGAGACGAUUAUAAGAGAGUUAUGUUGUUAAUAAUGUAAAGUUCCCAAACUCGCUCCAUCAAACCUUCUUCCUCUGUGAAUGUGAACAUUUUGCCUAUCAAAUAAUUAAUUAUACAAAAGUCAUCUGAGAAGAGAGUCUUUUUCUGUGAAUACAGUUUAAUGAACAUAACAAGUAGGCCUUAGUCAACAUGACUAACUAAAGUAAGGACUUGAAAUUGGUAAAAUUCAUCACAGUCAUCAAAUUACCAAUUAAAGCAGUAUCCUGUAAACCUAGCUCUCUCCUUUGCUGGUUUUUAACAACCCACACCUUUCCCUUUCUAGUUGAGAACAUUGAUCCAGGCCAUCACACUACUCACAAACAUCAUCAUCAUCGUCAUCGUUUAACGCCCGCUUUCCUUUUUCUACAUAUAUACAUAAUUGCUUCAGCAACAACAAAAACCCAUCUAUCUCUUAACAUUGAUAUUAGCAUAGCUUUCACUCGCUUGAAACCAAGUGCCUACAACCUGGAAUUCUUGUUCAGAUCAUCAAUAACACAUUUACAAUCUAGUUUCCGAAUGAUAUACUACAAAGAUCCAUUUCCUCAUCCAUUGUUUUUACCAUAUACCUACCCAAUGUUCUCAUUCGGGACUUCCAAUCUCUCUACAAUAAACUACAUUUUACACAUGUAGACCAUUUGCUCUUGUGUAAACAGUAAAAAUGAAAGCUCAUCAGAAUAUUCAAAGGACACCGUUUCUUUGUACUGCAACUUCCAAACCUCACCGUCCCCACCAUGCAUUAAUAUCCAGAUGUGUUUAUAAGAUAGCAGAAGAUUGCUUCAACACUCUCAUACAAAUGCUCUCUUUUCCAUUCAGUUCAGAAACAUUAAAAAGACAUUCAUAUAAAAAUAUCUGCAGCAUCAGCAAACACAUCAGCCUCAAAGAUUAUGUGCUGGAAUGUUUACUAACAAUAAAAAGGGCAAAUGAACAACAGCUGUGUCCACCUUGGCCACCACCAGAAUCCGAUGGAGUGAAUGCAACACUUCCCAAAUUGUCACUCUGCACCUCAUGUUGAAACGUGCUGUAUGGUCUUCAACUUGGUGGAGGAAUAGAUCUGUGGACUGCAUUUUGUUGUUUGACCAACUUCUUGCAUGCCACACAGGUUUGCUUGAUCAGGGCUACCAAGGCCGCACAACAAUGCUAUUUGUGUUAAGAAUAAAGCCCUAUCCUAGCAGCAGACUAUCUGCCUGACGUGCUACACUACUCCAUCACCAUACAGCCAUUGUCACACCAUUACAGCAGCACUUACAAUGGAUCUUUCUACAACAAUACAUCUGUCAAUUCUCACUGAAUAACCAAUGAUAUAAUUAUUAAAGAGAUUUUAUGUUCAGUCUAUUGAGACAUUUUUAAUCAGUUCCAACACUUAACUAAAACAUGUUCCUGUCAUUGUCUAUUGCAUUAUCAGUGGUCCACUGUGUCUUGACCAUAGACCUUACCUACCAUGUGGAAGAAGAGAGAAGUCCAGGAACAUAUGUAGCAGACAUUGCUGCUGAUUCUAAACUUUUAGACAAUGUUAAACCAUCUGAUCAACAUUUGAUAACAUUCAGUCAAUUCAAACGAAAGGUGGCACAGUUAUUUAAUAUCACCAAAACAGGUAAACUGUACACUGCUCAGACAUUGGAUGCAGAAGAUCUUUGUACAUUCAACAAAGAAUGUUCCAGAACUAUGAAAGUUG